UCAACACAUUCCAUUUCUCCCCAAGGCAAGAAUAAAAGUAAAUUUAUCACAGCUUUGGAGCAAAAUCAGUUAAUAUAAUCCCAAGUGCACAAACUUGAUUUCUUGGGAUUUAUACAAUAUUAGAUUGAAACUCAGAUGUCAAAGAGCUAGAAGGGAAGACAUUGAUCUUGUGUGAUGCCAAACCCCAGAAGACAUCCUGAAGUUUGGAUGCUCGUGGAGAUUAGGGUGUUGGGAGAAGAAUCCCCGUCCACAGUUCCAUCCUCUGAGCCAAUUCUAAGGCCUAGGAUGGUCACAGGCAAUAUUACUUCAGCAAUGGUAUUGUUUUCUUCCACCCAUUUUUUCCAAGGAUUAUUGUAAAUUUGACAAAAACUCAACCUAGUACUCACUUAUCUUUUCCUCUCUGCUAUGGUCAUAUUAAGUAUCUUAAAGAGAGCCAUAGGUUUGCUUUUUGUUUUUUUCUUAUAAACCUGCAAUUAACUGGAGACUUGCUGGGUUGGGCUAUGCCUGACCAAUCUGGACUCAGCUGGCCCAGGUGCUGAAGUAUUAUUGGCAGGGUAGACUAGGGUGGUGGCUGGCCCGAGUGGGCUUUCCUGGGAUAAUGCAAAUAUCUUUCCUGGUCUCUCUCAUCUGUCUAGAAGGCUAACCUGUGGCAGUUAUUGUGGGAGAAAUCUAAGUAUUUCUGACUUUACUUCUCAGCUAUUAAUGUUCUCUUAGCCUGAAUGAAUCACAUGUCUUACUCUCUUGACUAGCAUCCCAAGCUUUCGGCUUUCUGUUCAAAGAAUUGUAGAAGUUAACACACAGAUGGAAAACUAGCAAGGAAAUGUAUUCAGAAGCAAAACUAUAACUCAUAUUGGACACACUGCAAGGCAGUAGCAUGCUUCUUGAUUUACAACACUCAAGCGCAGUAGUUAUUGUUUAGGGCUUUGUUUUAUGGAGUUUAGGAGGAGGGGGUGUUGCUUGGUAUGGCCUUGGUUAUGAGUGGCACUCUUCAUUCAGUGACAGUUUGGAUAAGCCUUUCUCUACUGCAUACAUAGUUUUCUAUGAUGCAUCUGAUUCUAAUCAUAUGCAUGCUUGUGUGGUUGAAUAGAGGCAUAGAGAUGGACAAUGGAGGAUUUUCCCUGAAAAUUUAUGGAGAGGGCACAGUUUGGCUUACUGUGAAUCUACCGAAAACUGGUUUGGGCUGGAUUGGGUCUAUUUCCUGUAGUUCCUAGACAUCUUCCAGGGCAUGUUUGAAUAGAAACAGGGCAUUGCCAUAGGCUUGUCAAGGAGGAGUCAGAAGCAUGGUAUAGGUACUGUCCUGUGAAGAUAAAGGUUGCAGCUUGCCAAAAUUUACUAUGAGAAAAGGACUGUUGUAUUUGUAGCUUUAGCCAAGUGGAAUCCCAGGAUACUAAGCUUCCUUCAUGCCUGGCAGCCUCACAAGGGUAGAUCCAAAGUUACAGUAAGAGGGGCUCAAGAUGUCCAGGGUACUAGGUGUGACCACAGACAACUGUGAUGAAACAAAUUCAAUGUAGUUUAAAUAAAUUCAGUAUAAAGCUACUGCACAUGCCCUGAAGCGGAAAUUAAUGGGAACUCAGCUUGAGAAAUACCAAAACAUGAAUGGACUCCCUUUAAAAAAAAAAUAGAGUUUUAGAGCAAUGAUUUCUCUCAGACAGGUUUCAUGGACUAUAAUAAGAAAUAUACCAGACUGGUUGGUACAGACCUGUCAUCACAACUACUUUAGAGACUAAAGUGGGAUGAUCUCAUGAUGGAGAGGAGACCUCCCAGGGCUACAAAGGAAGUUCAACUCUACUCAGCCAAUUUAAUGAUACCUUUUCUCAAAAGGAAAAGUAAAAGAGGGCUAUGGAUAUUGCUCAAAGAGAAAUCUGUGUCAGAGACCUGUGGACCUGAGAGGACAGCAUCGGUUCAAAAUCUGGGAACUGUCCCAAGCAUGUAUUAGGAUGCAAAUUAAUUUGAGCCUUGUUUCCCCUGCUCUUGCCACUGGGAGCGCAUUGGGUGGGAAGGUUAAUUCAGUGCAGCCUUAUCUCCCGUGGGCACUGCUGGGGAGCCUUGGAAUCAUUUUGUUUCUCAUCUCUGGAAAUGGAAUGUGCUUUGCCUCACUGAUGAGUAGGGGAGGAAAGAGGUCAACCUGGAGAGAUUAGGAUGCCUACCAAGGCUCCCUGUGCUGCAAGGGGUUAUUAAGGAUCCCAGAAGUGAGAGGCUGCAGUUAGUUUUAGUUCUGAGGAGCUGUGUCUGUAAGGCUUUCUGUGCAGCUGUAGGACAUUGCUGAAGUCCCCCUUCCCUGACUGCUGCUUCCAAAGAGAACAUCCACACAUGAGCAUGUAUCUGACACUGAAGACAACCAAGAUCCAGUUCAGCCAAAGGGAAAUAAAAUGCAUACACUUUUCAAGCACUU